rnacentral:lncRNA from 1 species
UAGCAUAGGUGAAGAAACGAAAAUUAUUGGGUCCACUGUUGGAAUGAAGUUUAAAGAUGAACUUGGAGGAGCAUGGCGUAUAAACACUUUCCAUCUCGAGCACAAUCACAGAACAAUUCCAUCAAAUCAAGGCUAUACCGAUGCAAUCGUGAAAUCAGUGCUUGUGAAAAGAUACUUCAAAAUAAAUGAUAUCGCUGGGGCAUUCCAAACUACACGUGUCCUAAUCCCUAUAAAAAUUGGAGGUUAAAAUUUUGGAUAAAAAAAUAAUGAAAUAUGUGAUGCUUUGUUAAUAAACUUUGUGAAUUCCAU